GAUGAACGCUGGCGGCGUGCCUAAUACAUGCAAGUCGAGCGAACGGACGAGAAGCUUGCUUCUCUGAUGUUAGCGGCGGACGGGUGAGUAACACGUGGAUAACCUACCUAUAAGACUGGGAUAACUUCGGGAAACCGGAGCUAAUACCGGAUGAUAUUUUGAACCGCAUGGUUCAAAAGUGAAAGACGGUCUUGCUGUCACUUAUAGAUGGAUCCGCGCUGCAUUAGCUAGUUGGUAAGGUAACGGCUUACCAAGGCAACGAUGCAUAGCCGACCUGAGAGGGUGAUCGGCCACACUGGAACUGACACACGGUCCAGACUCCUACGGGAGGCAGCAGUAGGGAAUCUUCCGCAAUGGGCGAAAGCCUGACGGAGCAACGCCGCGUGAGUGAUGAAGGUCUUCGGAUCGUAAAACUCUGUUAUUAGGGAAGAACAUAUGUGUAAGUAACUGUGCACAUCUUGACGGUACCUAAUCAGAAAGCCACGGCUAACUACGUG
rnacentral:rRNA from 1 species